rnacentral:rRNA from 1 species
CCCCGGUGGUAAUACCGGAUAAUAUUUUGAACCGCAUGGUUCAAAAGUGAAAGACGGUCUUGCUGUCACUUAUAGAUGGAUCCGCGCUGCAUUAGCUAGUUGGUAAGGUAACGGCUUACCAAGGCAACGAUGCAUAGCCGACUGCACGGGGUGAUCGGCCACACUGGAACUGAGACACGGUCCAGACUCCUACGGGAGGCAGCAGUAGGGAAUCUUCCGCAAUGGGCGAAAGCCUUACUAAGCAACGCCGCGUGAGUGAUGAAGGUCUUCGGAUCGUAAAACUCUGUUAUUAGGGAAGAACAUAUGUGUAAGUAACUGUGCACAUCUUGACGGUACCUAAUCAGAAAGCCACGGCUAACUACGUGCCAGCAGCCGCGGUAAUACGUAGGUGGCGAGUUAUAGCCGGAAUUAUUGGGCGUAAAGCGCGCGUAGGCGGUUUUUUAAGUCUGAUGUGAAAGCCCACGGCUCAACCGUGGAGGGUCAUUGGAAACUGGCUCACUUGAGUGCAGAAGAGGAAAGUGGAAUUCCAUGUGUAGCGGUGAAAUGCGCAGAGAUAUGGAGGAACACCUUUGGCGAAGGCGACUUUCUGGUCUGUAACUGACGCUGAUGUGCGAAAGCGUGGGGAUCAAACAGGAUUAGAUACCCUGGUAGUCCACGCCGUAAACGAUGAGUGCUAAGUGUUAGGGGGUUUCCGCCCCUUAGUGCUGCAGCUAACGCAUUAUGGGUUCAUCCCAUAGGGCAAGACCGCAAGGUUGAAACUCAAAGGAAUUGACGGGGACCCGCACAAGCGGUGGAGCAUGUGGUUUAAUUCGAAGCAACGCGAAGAACCUUACCAAAUCCUCACAUCCUUUGACAACUCUAGAGAUAGAGCCUUCCCCUUCGGGGGACAAAGUGACAGGUGGUGCAUGGUUGUCGUCAGCUCGUGUCGUGAGAUGUUGGGUUAAGUUCUGUAACGAGCGCAACCCUUAAGCUUAGUUGCCAUCAUUAAGUUGGGCACUCUAAGUUGACUGCCGGUGACAAACCGGAGGAAGGUGGGGAUGACGUCAAAUCAUCAUGCCCCUUAUGAUUUGGGCUACACACGUGCUACAAUGGACAAUACAAAGGGCAGCGAAACCGCGAGGUCAAGCAAAUCCCAUAAAGUUGUUCUCAGUUCGGAUUGUAGUCUGCAACUCGACUACAUGAAGCUGGAAUCGCUAGUAAUCGUAGAUCAGCAUGCUACGGUGAAUACGUUCCCGGGUCUUGUACACACCGCCCGUCACACCACGAGAGUUUGUAACACCCGAAGCCGGUGGAGUAACCUUUUAGGAGCUAGCCGUCGAAGGUGGGACAAAUGAUUGGGGUG